GUGCUCAGUUUGGUAAUACACAUACUAAAAUUGGAAUGAUACAGAGAAGAAUAGCAUGGCCCCUGCUCAAGGAUGGUACUCAAAUUUGUGAAGCAUUUUAUAUUAAA